rnacentral:lncRNA from 1 species
AUAUUAGGAGUUGGUUAGAAGUAAGAGUCUUAAGUAGGAGUCCUAUUAGGAGUUAGGGUUUAGAAGCCCUAUAAAUAGCCAUGUAUUUCUUCUCUUUUCUUAAGCAAUAGAUAAAACUUUUCUGCAGCCUUUGAGCAGCACUUGGAGGGAGGAACCCCUAUAGAGUUCCAAGGAGGCCGAUCCCCUAAAGAGAUCAACCCCAAGUUUAGAAUCUGCAAGGGUUCUAUCACCUGGUAUCAGAGCAGCGUUCUUGGCAUCUCGCUGCCCUUCCACAGCCAUCCAUCAACCCUCCACAACCAUCCAAAGCAAUUCCCACAAUUGCUUAAAAGAUCGUCGCCGAAUUCCACCAUCAUCUCCACCACCGCAGAUCAACCUUUGAUCUCCCCGUGAAUUACAAUAGGUUCUGGUUUCCUACCUUACUGCUGCUGCAAUUUAUUUAUCCCUAUCCGAAAAUCCAAAAAAAAAAAAAUUCGUUCCUAUAUUGCUGCAAAUUUUCAUCGUAAGUUGCUGAAAUUUUUCGACGAGAAUUCUGCUAUCGCAACUUACACCAAUUUUCUUGCUGUUACUGUCGAAAUUUUCUCAAUGGACAUCCUUGCUAUCAUAUAAACUGAGAUAUUGCUGUCAACUCUCUCCUCAAAUCUCUCAAAUUUUUUGUGGAGAUUUCGUCGAGAAACCGCUGUUUCUUCGACGAUAAUUCUGCUCUUACA